GCGCAGCCGCAUAAGAGAGCGCGCGGGUCUCCAGAGCCUGAGCUAGUCAGAAGUAACAGUUGCUACUGCGUCCCCCGGACACUGGGAGAAUCGUUUUCCUUGGGCAGCUGGUUCCAGACCCCCACCAGUCCUCUAGACUCCAGGCCAAUCAGUUGCUAAGGGACGUUCCUCUCUCAACCUGCACUUAUCAACAUUUUAAACUAUAAAUUCGUCUGCAUUUCUUCAUCGUCUAUCUAUGUGGACCAUGACUCCACAGAGGCAGGCUCACCAUUCCCAUCGCUUAUGCUGGGCAAUCAUCAAUAUACCCGCUGUCAUGGAAUUGCAGAAUCGUUAUCCAAAUGGCUUUGACUUUUACCACUACUCCCAGCCAUGCACCAGAAUUCCGGUAGCUGUACACCUUUAUUAACACUUGGUAUUGUCAGUCUUUAACAAUUCUAGUGAGAGCGUAGUGUCAUCUCUAGUGUAUUUUGAAUUUAGGUACCAUCAAUUUCAUCAAUUGAGUAUUUCUCAUAUGCAAUUAUUUGAGGUUUGACAGAUGUAUGUAGCUAUAUACCCACAACCACAGUCAAGACACUACCAAGUGCCAUUACUUAAAACAUUCCCUCCUGAUGUUCCUUGGUAGGCAACUGUCCCUCCCUAUUUAAUUCCUGUAAAAACACUAAUCUAUUCUCUACCCUACUGAUAUGCCUUUUAAAGAAUGUCAUAUAAAUGGAAUCAUUCAAAAUGUAGCCUUUAAAAUCUGGAUUCAUUCACUUGGUUUAAUGCAUUUGGGGCUCGUCCGUGUGAUGGGGUGUUGUUUUUAAAUUGCUGACUCAUACCUCAUUGUUUUCAUAGAUCCCCAUUUUGUAUACAUUUACUGGCUGGUGAACAUUCAUAUUGUUUUUAGGUUUUGGUGACUAUAAAGUAAAACUAGUAUAAAUAUUCACAUGCAGAUUUCUGUGUGUGGACACUAGUUUUUUUAUUUCUCUUGGGUAAAUACCUAGGAGUCGGGUGCUUGGUCAUAUGUGUAAGUUCGAAUUUAUAAGAAACUGCCAAACUGUUCUCCAAAGUGGGUGUACCAUUUUACAUUCCCACCAGCAGAAUAUGUGAGUUCUGGUUGCUCUACGUUUUCAUUAACAUUUGGUAUUAUCAGGAUUUAAAAAAAAAUUUCUUUGGGUUUUGUUUUGUAGCCAUUCUAAUAGGUAUGUACUGCUACCUCGUUCUGGUUAUAAUCUGUGAUUUCGUAACAGCAAAUGGUGUUGAGAAUGCUUUCAUGUGAUUAUUUGCCAUCAGUUUUUCUUAUUUGGCGAGGAGGCUGAUCAAAUAUUUAGUGCUUUUUAAAAUUUGUGUUAAAAUAUACAUUAAAAAAUUACAAUUUUAACCAUUUUUCAGUGCACAGGUAAGUGGCACUAAGUACAUUCACACUCUUAUGCAAUUAUUAAUCAUUGAUCUCCAGAAAUUUCUUCAUCUUGCCAAAUUGAAACUCUGUACCAACUAAAUGAUAACUUCCUAUUCCAUCCUGCCCCCAGCCCAUGGCAACCAGCUUUCUACUUUCUUUGUCUAUGAAUUUGAGCACCUCUGGGAGAUUGUGGGGAAAGAACUGAGAAAAAUUCUUCUUCUCCAGAUCCAUUUCUCUGUUCCUUUUUGGGUCUCUGCAACAUGACCUCAGUUCUCUCAGGAAGCCCCAAAACCUGUGAAACUAACCUGUGCUUGCAGCUCUGCUUGCUGCCAGAAACAAAGGCUGGGAGCCAGCAACAGGAACCAGCCAGGGGAUGAGUUCAGCCCAGAAGUGCUGCCUGGACCUGGAUUCCUGCCUCAGUGCAGGCCUUGACCUGAUUUCUUGCUUCAUUACCAUACUAAAAUCUCCACUCAGAGGCGAGAACUAUGCCUUGCUAGGCACAGAAGGUGCCAAGUACAAAAGAAAACACAAGAGUGUGCACACUUCAGCCCCUCCUGGAGGAACCCACCUUUUUCCAGAUCUGCCCGCCUCAGUCUCCAACUACCUGCCCUAAGGGCCCUUAAGAUCCCCUUUUACCAACCCCUGGGAGAAGGUGCUUUGCACAUGAACUCCCUUUCUCCAUUUCUUGAUCAAUGAAUAAAGUUUCUUCUCUGCUUUGCCGA